UUUUAUUUGAGAGUUUGAUCCUGGCUCAGGAUGAACGCUGGCGGCGUGCCUAACACAUGCAAGUUGAGCGAUUUACUUCGGUAAAGAGCGGCGGACGGGUGAGUAACGCGUGGGUAACCUACCCUGUACACACGGAUAACAUACCGAAAGGUAUGCUAAUACGGGAUAAUAUAUUUGAGAGGCAUCUCUUGAAUAUCAAAGGUGAGCCAGUACAGGAUGGACCCGCGUCUGAUUAGCUAGUUGGUAAGGUAACGGCUUACCAAGGCGACGAUCAGUAGCCGACCUGAGAGGGUGAUCGGCCACAUUGGAACUGAGACACGGUCCAAACUCCUACGGGAGGCAGCAGUGGGGAAUAUUGCACAAUGGGCGA
rnacentral:rRNA from 1 species